AAGUCGUAACAAGGUUUCCGUAGGUGAACCUGCGGAAGGAUCAUUAUGAAUUUGAACUUGUGUGUGUGGUUGUUUCGAGACUUUUUUUGUUUUGAACGCCUCCCCACAAUUCUUUUUCUGUGAACUGUUCUUGAGCUUUUGUCAAUUUACGUUGAUAAAAGCUUGGGUCAUUUUUUGUUUUCUUGUAUUAUUCCACUUUAUAUUUCGAGUAAUUCUUGCAAAAGAAUGAAAAAAAUACAAUAAACCAAGACAACUUUCAGCAAUGGAUCUCUUGGCUCUU
rnacentral:misc_RNA from 1 species